rnacentral:rRNA from 1 species
AGAGUUUGAUCCUGGCUCAGGACGAACGCUGGCGGCGUGCUUAACACAUGCAAGUCGAGGGCACCGGGUUUCGGCCCGGUGACCGGCGAACGGGUGCGUAACACGUGAGCGACCUGCCGAUCCGCGGGGGAUAGCCGGCCCAACGGCCGGGUAAUACCGCAUACGCUCCCUCCCGGGCAUCCGGGGGGUGAGGAAACCUCCGGGGCGGAUCGAGGGGCUCGCGGCCUAUCAGCUAGUUGGCGGGGUAACGGCCCACCAAGGCGGCGACGGGUAGCUGGCCUGAGAGGGUGGCCAGCCACAUUGGGACUGAGAGACGGCCCAGACUCCUACGGGAGGCAGCAGUGGGGAAUCUUGCGCAAUGGCCGCAAGGCUGACGCAGCGACGCCGCGUGCGGGAGGACGCCCCUCGGGGUGUAAACCGCUGUUGCCCGGGACGAACCGCUCGUUUCGACGAGCCUGACGGUACCGGGUGAGGAAGCACCGGCUAACUCCGUGCCAGCAGCCGCGGUAAUACGGAGGGUGCGAGCGUUGUCCGGAAUCACUGGGCGUAAAGGGCGCGUAGGUGGCCGUGGCAAGCGUGCGGUGAAAGCCCGGGGCUCAACCCCGGGUCGGCCGUGCGGACUGCCGGGCUGGGGCCCACUAGGGGCAGGCGGAAUUCCGGGUGUAGCGGUGGAAUGCGUAGAGAUCCGGAAGAACACCGGCGGCGAAGGCGGCCUGCUGGGGUGGAGCCGACACUGAGGCGCGACAGCGUGGGGAGCAAACAGGAUUAGAUACCCUAGUAGUCC